CCCUACAGAGUGACGUGGCACUAUCUAGAAAAAAGAAAAAACUCUGAAUUUUGAAAUCGAAAAUCCUUCGUCUCUCUCCCAAUUUUCGCCCAAAUCAGGCCCUACUCCCUCCUCUCCCCAUUUCCUCCCAAAGUCGUGCAACUCUGGCAAUAGUGGAGCUCCGGUGGUCGCCAAAAUUGGUACUCGCUUCCGACUUGAUCCGCAUGGUAUAUGAAUCCGAAGCCGUGUACAGACAUUACGCUGUCGCAAAAAAAUCGGUUGACAUUCAUCGUCUCUCAAACCUUCAUUUACUGCUCACUUGCUUGCAAAUUGAAUACGAGAUUUUUUUGGCAAGACAGAAGGCCGAGAAAGAACUUAGGAGUUUGCCAUGGUUGCAGGAGUGUUGGACACUUCUUUGGCGAUUGCCCGAUAAAACACCGAUGUCCAGAUUGUACACAUGGAUCUCAGAAGUUGUUCGAGGUUGAAAGGGUCACUCCUAACAAAAGUAGAUUCUUCAAAUGUUGUAGUGAGAAGUGUGGGUUUCGGGAUUGGUGCAAAGAAUGAGAAGCAACUGGUGAAUCCAGUAACACUAGCGUUACUUUGGCUAAACCAGCGACGCACAGAGAAGUUAACGAUAUGUGGUGAACCUCAAGUGAUUUGGAAUGUUGAAAUUGUUUGGGUUCUUUUA